ACACACUGGAUCCUGUAACCCACACCCUAUAGCUUAACAAUGUUUAUCCAAUCAAUAAUCAAUCUUAUUUUUUUGUAAACAAAUGAGAGUUUCUGACAAACAACUUUGUAUCAGCCCACCCUCUUUCCCUCUCUUUUUGCCUUUACAAAUCCACUUGCAGCUGCGCUAAUCAAAGUGUAGAUUCCUGGCAACAUGAAUCUUUGAUCCCAGGUUACAAUUCCCAAUCUUGGCUCAAAUAAACUCUCUACUUAUAUUCAUGUAGCUUCAGCUUUUUCCUUUCAAGUAGACAUAUUAUUUAGAAUGUGC
rnacentral:lncRNA from 10 species